rnacentral:rRNA from 1 species
GACGAACGCUGGCGGCGUGCUUAACACAUGCAAGUCGAACGGUGAUGCUCCAGCUUGCUGGAGUGGAUCAGUGGCGAACGGGUGAAUAACACGUGAGCAACCUGCCCCAGACUCUGGAAUAAGCGCUGGAAACGGCGUCUAAUACUGGAUACGAAACUGGCCCGCAUGGGCAUGGUUUGGAAAGUUUUUCGGUUUGGGAUGGGCUCGCGGCCUAUCAGCUUGUUGGUGAGGUAAUGGCUCACCAAGGCGACGACGGGUAGCCGGCCUGAGAGGGCGACCGGCCACACUGGGACUGAGACACGGCCCAGACUCCUACGGGAGGCAGCAGUGGGGAAUAUUGCACAAUGGGCGAAAGCCUGAUGCAGCGACGCCGCGUGAGGGAUGACGGCCUUCGGGUUGUAAACCUCUUUCAGCAGGGAAGAAGCGAAAGUGACGGUACCUGCAGAAGAAGCACCGGCUAACUACGUG